rnacentral:rRNA from 1 species
GCGGACGGGUGAGUAAUGCUUAGGAAUCUGCCUAUUAGUGGGGGACAACAUUCCGAAAGGAAUGCUAAUACCGCAUACGUCCUACGGGAGAAAGCAGGGGAUCUUCGGACCUUGCGCUAAUAGAUGAGCCUAAGUCGGAUUAGCUAGUUGGUGGGGUAAAGGCCUACCAAGGCGACGAUCUGUAGCGGGUCUGAGAGGAUGAUCCGCCACACUGGGACUGAGACACGGCCCAGACUCCUACGGGAGGCAGCAGUGGGGAAUAUUGGACAAUGGGGGGAACCCUGAUCCAGCCAUGCCGCGUGUGUGAAGAAGGCCUUAUGGUUGUAAAGCACUUUAAGCGAGGAGGAGGCUACUGAGACUAAUACUCUUGGAUAGUGGACGUUACUCGCAGAAUAAGCACCGGCUAACUCUGUGCCAGCAGCCGCGGUAAUACAGAGGGUGCGAGCGUUAAUCGGAUUUACUGGGCGUAAAGCGUGCGUAGGCGGCUUUUUAAGUCGGA